ACGGACAUGGCACCAAGUCCCUCGUGUUACAGACUGAGUCCGAGAGCAGAGACCUCGUCUCACAGCUCGCCGGAGCCCACUUCUGGCUUGGCUCCUGCCCUCGUGUUUCCCACGCCAGCAAUCUCGGGGGCAUCUUCGCCUUGCCCACGUAUCCUGAAGGUGUAAACAGCUGAGAGCCUCUUGGGAAGCAAAGAUACCACCUAUAUUUUUGUCACCUUCGUUUCCCAUGGGGAACAAGACCAAAGACUCGACGUCUGUCCCAGUUACCUGAGACCAGGGCCCGAGGCUCCACUCGGGAGGGCAGGCGUGGCUGUUGCAGACUUGAACUUGAGUGGGCGUGCUCA